GACAGAGGUGCCGAGCGUUAGGCGGAAUCACUGGGCUUAAAGCGUGUGUAGGCGGGCGGGCAAGUACCUUGUGAAAUCCCACGGCUCAACCGUGGAACGGCUGGGUAUACUGCCUGUCUUGAGCCAACUAGGGGCGAGCGGAACAGACGGUGGAUCGGUGAAAUGCGUAGAUAUCGUCUGGAACGCCAAAGGUGAAAACAGCUCGCUGGGGUUGUGCUGACGCUGAGACACGAAAGCCAGGGGAGCGAACGGG
rnacentral:rRNA from 1 species